UACGUAGGGGGCAAGCGUUGUCCGGAUUUAUUGGGCGUAAAGAGCUCGUAGGCGGCUCACUAAGUCGGAUGUGAAAACUCCAGGCUCAACCUGGAGACGCCAUUCGAUACUGGUGUGGCUUGAGUUCGGUAGGGGAGCACGGAAUUCCUGGUGUAGCGGUGAAAUGCGCAGAUAUCGGAAAGAACACCAACGGCGAAAGCACUCUGCUGGGCCGACACUGACACUGAGAGACGAAAGCUAGGGGAGCGAAUGGG
rnacentral:rRNA from 1 species